rnacentral:rRNA from 1 species
UACGAAGGGGGCUAGCGUUGCUCGGAAUCACUGGGCGUAAAGCGCACGUAGGCGGCUUUUUAAGUCAGAGGUGAAAUCCUGGAGCUCAACUCCAGAACUGCCUUUGAUACUGAGAAGCUUGAGUCCGGGAGAGGUGAGUGGAACUGCGAGUGUAGAGGUGAAAUUCGUAGAUAUUCGCAAGAACACCAGUGGCGAAGGCGACUCACUGGCCCGAUACUGACGCUGAGGCGCGAAAGCGUGGGGAGCAAACAGG